rnacentral:rRNA from 1 species
CACGCUGUAAACGAUGGAUACUAGGUGUGGGGGGUCUGACCCCCUCCGUGCCGCAGUUAACACAAUAAGUAUCCCACCUGGGGAGUACGAUCGCAAGGUUGAAACUCAAAGGAAUUGACGGGGGCCCGCACAAGCGGUGGAGUAUGUGGUUUAAUUCGAAGCAACGCGAAGAACCUUACCAGGGCUUGACAUCCUACUAACGAAGCAGAGAUGCAUUAGGUGCCCUUCGGGGAAAGUAGAGACAGGUGG